UGUGGCAUCAAGUAAUAAAUAUUAUUUUGCUUUUGAAUAUUAUCGUGACUUCAAGUUCUGUUUUCAAUACAACUCAAGUUCAAUGGGAGGAUGCACAGAAAAUGUGCACUGUUCCAUCUCUAAGCGACAUCAUGUACACACACAUAGUAUAUGCUGAGCUACCUACAACAUUUACUGCAUGGACAUCGUCACGGAAUCUUACAUCAGAUUGGACAUCUUUUUAUGGUUGCCUGGACGUAUCAGUUCAGAUGUCUACAAUUGAUAAUGUAUAUAAAACUUUAAACCAAUAUUUCCCGAACAGUACAUACGCAAUUAAAUCGGACAGCGUAUUUCAAUGUGCAUAUUCUUGUACAGCGAAAGGCGAUUUGUUUGCAUUUCAUAAAUACAUUUGCAAGUGUAUUUAUAAGUACGAAUUGACGUCACAUGUAGAGAAGAGUCCAGUUUGUAUCUUUUGGGACGUACCUGAGGUAGACAUUGUUGACAAAAUUUAUUCGAGAUCUCGUAAUUCACUUCCAAUCUUCAAAUUUGAAACAGACUUGCGUACUGCGAUUAUACAAAAAGGUGAUAGAGAACACCAUCAACAUUAUUGCCUCGCCAAAAGAAAUGGUACGUUCUCGAAAAGUGACUGCAACUCUGAAAAAAUGUUUACUUGUGA